rnacentral:lncRNA from 1 species
ACACGCGCCGCGCCCAGCCCGGAGCGCGCAGGGGAGAGCCGGGCCUGCGGGGUGCGGCGGGCCAGGCCGGGGUGCAGAGCUUGGCUGUCUUCCGCGGAGAGCGAGAUCCCGUUUCAAAAUCGCAAAACUGUGGGGGAGGAUGAAGGCGAGACUUUCCCAAACCAUCCUGGGCACCAAAGAAGGUAGCGCCACUCAGUCUUCUUUGUUGUUCUCAAUGUAUCAAGCAAAACUAUUUCUAAGCCCACAUAUUCGUGUGUCAUAGUUCAGGGACACAGGUCAGCGACAAACUUCCAUGCUAUUACACCCAAAGAGAUUCUUUAGAGUGCAAAAUCACUCUGCACUCUGAAAGAUACCAGCCUUCCUCUUCUCAAAAUCUUUCGUGGAAUCAUAAUUUCUGUAGAAAUCCGCCUAUGCCUUGCCUGGUUCAGCCACAGCAAACUUACAGAGAGCUGCAACCCCAGGGAUACAACGAAUGCUUCAACAACGUGACGCGGCAGAAGCCUGGCCAGAAGGCCACACACCUGAGAGUUCGUCGAAGGGCUGGAAGCCGUGAGAGUGACAGUCCUCGGGUUUCGCCGUGUUGGCUGGGCUGGUCUCCG